CAAUAGCGUAUAUUAAAGUUGUUGCAGUUAAAAAGCUCGUAGUUGGAUUUCUGUGAGAGUGCCGGUGUCGGCUGAUGCUUGUACGCAGGCGCUCUUACAUCCUUCUGUUAACUGUUCUUGGCAUUUUAUUGCUGGUUCAGGGCUCAGAUAUUUUACCUUGAGAAAAUUAGAGUGUUUCAGGCAGGCUUAUGCCGGAAUACAUUAGCAUGGAAUAAUGGAACAGGACCUGUGCGUCUCUCGGGGCGCCGGGCUCCGUUGUUGGUUUCGGGGACUAAUGUAAUGAUUAAUAGGGAUAGUUGGGGGCAUUAGUAUUUAAUAGUCAGAGGUGAAAUUCUCGGAUUUGUUAAAGACUAACUUAUGCGAAAGCAUUUGCCAAGGAUGUUUUCAUUAA
rnacentral:rRNA from 1 species